rnacentral:rRNA from 1 species
GACGAACCGUGCGAACGUUAUUCGGAAUCACUGGGCUUAAAGCGCGUGUAGGCGGGUCGGCGCGUCGGUCGCUGAAAUCCCCCGGCUCAACCGGGGAAGGGGCGCCGAGACGGCCGGCCUGGAGGGACGUAGGGGGGGGCUGGAACUUCCGGUGGAGCGGUGAAAUGCGUUGAGAUCGGAAGGAACGCCCGUGGCGAAAGCGAGCCCCUGGACGUCUACUGACGCUGAGACGCGAAAGCCAGGGGAGCGAACGGG